GUGGAGUUCGAGUCCCACCAAGGCAGCCAGUGGAGAGUCCCAGGUCCUUCAGGUUCCAGUCUGGCUAAGCUCUGCCCUCGUGAGAAGCUCUUGCAGAGGAGUCCUUACCACCUCCUCAGCUUGGCCAGCAGCAUGCAGCCUUCUGUCUGCUUUCUCUUCCUGUUGGAUUGUGUUCAUUGGUUCUUCUAAGUCUCCAGUAGUUUCAAGAUUGUGGCUUUCAAGUCUUUGCUCUUCUUUCUCUGGGCCAUCACGAUGUUCUGCAUAUAUAUAUAUAAUGGUGUUCCAAGUGCAUGGCCUUCAAACUGCUUCUAUGCCAAGUCACGUGCUGUAGUCUGUACUUCGUUCUUUGCAUGGCUUGGUCCCUGUCUGUGACAUGAUCUUUUUUUCAUUUUUUUUUUUAAGUGGUUCUCUGCCACAAGAAAGCUUGACACAUUCUUACCAAGAACUAGCCAGGCUUCAUACUUUCUGCUGUGUUCCCGAUAUCUAUGUACUGUGAAGAACCGUGAGUUUCACCACUGCAAGAUGGAACUGUACCCCAACCCAGCCAUUAGCCCAACAGGACAUUCCAGGCUAUUGCCAACUGAUCCUAGCUGUCUUCCUGGGCCUUUGCCUUUUACCCUGCUUGUUAUCUCUACAACAAGCAGGUGGCUGGUGGGUAUGAGUGAAGUAACAGGCGAGGAAUGUUUUCUGUCACCUCAUUGGUCUUGUACCGUUGGUUGCUGUGCAUUGUGAUCAGCUACUGGUGAGUAUGGAAGCUUGUGCAAUUGCCCACUAGUUCUCUCCUGGUUGAGCUUUGCACAGGCCCAAGUGGUUCCUCAGGAACUAUCUAAGGACCUAAGUUCCUAGGCAGCACACAGAUACCCCCUGCUGUACCAGUUCCCAUGGCUCAAUUAGCUGCUGGGCAGGAUCUGUAGUCUCACGUGGCAGUGCCCAAAGCAAAGCUGAAGUGGCUCCCUUCCAGUGGUUAGUUCUGAGCCCUAACCAACAAAUUAUUCCUUAUCCAGGCACCUUUGAUAGGUAACUACUCCUCUUCCUGUGUUCACACCCACUCUGGUUAAGUCAAAGUUGCCUAGGUUUGGGUAGUUAGAAAUUGUUUGUGGCCCACAGGCCUUGCUAUACCUUUUUCUCUUUGGCUCUUCUCUUUUCACCUCCCCCCAACCCCUUUUCUUUUUAAGGCAGUUACAGCCCAGAGACAGAAAAAACAAAAGACAGCAGGCUUUUUAUUUGCUCUCCCCUUGGUUGUAUGCAGGCUGGGAAAGGUACUGUAAAGUAGACUCCAAAUCUCUCACUGCCCUGACUAUUCCACCCUUCUCAUAGCAAGGGAGACCACCUCCACUCUUCCCUCCAUUCUACUAGGUGCUGUGUCUUUAAGCUCUAGUUUGGGAAUCUGAGAGAAGAGAAAGAAGAGUCUCAAUGACAGACCCUGUGCCUGCCCUGAGCAGUCUGUGAAUGAAUGCACCUAGCCCACGUUUCUAAAGGACAGCAGUUCUUUUGUGGGCCUCAGCCUGUAGAAAUGACCAGAGAGCAACAAUGUGCGACAUCUUUGUUGUUUGCCUGAUCUUGGCCCUUACCUGUCAGGUUUUGAAUGUCCUUCCAUGUUUCCAUCCUAACAAAGAAGGAAGCAGGCUGUAGAGUGCAUUGUGGGAGGGAGACCCCAAGCCUCUUCUCAGGGAUGUGGGGAUGUGAGGGGUCUGGAUUUGCAGGACAUGCUCCAUUGAAUUUGCAACAGCGCUGUUGUGGCUUCUGCCGCUGCAGCCCUCAGGCAUUCCCUUUCUGAUUGAAAGACCUUGUUGAAAGCUUCUCCAAAGCUCGUAGGUCUGGAUACCUUCGUUGGAGGCUGGGAAUUUUAAGAGGAGGACUAGAGGGAAGAGCCUGUUGCAGAGUGAGUUUUUCUAGGUCUGCUGAGAUGAUUGACACAUGGAGGGAGCAGGGUUGGGGGCAGGGGUCCCUGAAGCACAUUCCAGUGCAAGGAGGUGGGGGAAGGGAUCAAGUGGGUUGGGAUUUAAAAAGAGACGCUUGGAGGAUAUUCCUUAGUUUGUUCUAAUUUUCAACUCCACCAGUAGAUGUUAGUAAACAGAUGUAAGUCUGAGUGAGCCUUGCCUGGGGAGAUCAAUGGUGUGCACUCCUCAUUCCACUGCGCUCGAUCCUAGUCCCCCCUGUCAGCUCACUGGCAGGAUUGAUGUUUACAAGCCUGCCUUUUACUGAUCAUUGAGAACAAGUGCAAACAUUUGAAUUUCUGUCAGUUGCAGUAUGAAGACUCCUGGGAACACUCACUACUAGAUUAACUUGUUCUGGUGUCUCUUCAUGUAUAGCUGUAUUCUUAGAAGUUCAAUCCGCACAAUGAUCUCUGAAGUCUGAAGACUUUUUGAAAACUGUUGCUAUGUCUUGUAAAAGUGGUUUCCAAAAGACAAAUGUAACUGUCCUACUGAUAUUUCUUGCUGUAGUAAGUAAGUAACACUUGGCAUUAUCUUCUUAACCCGUGUAAGGACUAGAACUGCUAUCAACUAAACGAGGAUAUUAGUCCUUUGUCUUCUCCUGUGUGCUCAAAGGAAAGAUAAUGUUACUGUUAUAUUUCUCGUCUGCACC
rnacentral:lncRNA from 1 species